AGUGAACGCUGGCGGCGUGCUUAACACAUGCAAGUCGAACGAGAAACGGAUUUAGCUUGCUAAAUUGCAGUCUAAGUGGCGCACGGGUGAGUAGUGUAUAGGUAAUAUGCCUCUUACUAAGGGAUAACAAUUGGAAACGAUUGCUAAUACCUUAUAUGCCUUUAAUACGAAAGUAUGCAAGGGAAAGAUUUUUUGGUAAGAUAUUAGCCUUUAUGGUAUCAGCUUGUUGGUGAGGUAAUGGCUCACCAAGGCUAUGACGCCUAACUGGUUUGAGAGGAUGAUCAGUCACACUGGAACUGAGACACGGUCCAGACUCCUACGGGAGGCAGCAGUGGGGAAUAUUGCACAAUGGACGAAAGUCUGAUGCAGCAACGCCGCGUGGAGGAUGACACAUUUCGGUGCGUAAACUCCUUUUAUAUAGGAAGAUAAUGACGGUACUAUAUGAAUAAGCACCGGCUAACUCCGUGCCAGCAGCCGCCGUAA
rnacentral:rRNA from 1 species